rnacentral:lncRNA from 1 species
GGGCGGAGCAACUGUGGAAGAGGGAAGCUAGUACCGCUUUUGAGCGAGGGAUGCGAUGCAGCGUGGUGCUGCUCGGAGGUGUGCUGCUCAGAGGCCGCCUGAUUGCCUACCUUCCCUGGUAUUCCUUCCGACUGCGGCAAGGGCACUGAGUGGUGGCAACGCCGGCAAGGCUCAGGUAUGGUGUCUAGAGGCAGCGCAGAAGGUGAGCGACACCCUGGCUGGCGGGUCGCGGACUAGAGCUGAACCUGGAGGCUUCGGUCCGACUCGCUGCUCUUGCAACUCAGGCUGCUGAAUUAUGGAACCCUUGACCUCCGGUUCCCCCUCCACUGCGGCGUGUCCGCCUUGGCUCUGCCACCUGCACUCCGUCCUUUGCCGAUCUGUGCGACCACAGCCUUCCCUCUGCCUCCCUCCUUCGCAGGAUUAGCGCCCUCACUGAAAUCACAUAAUUAAGAAGAUUGAGACAGAAAAUGAAGGGAAAGCAAAUGGGCUGAGAAGUUGGAAUAAAGACAGUGCAAAUGGUGAUUAUAGUUUCGAGGACCUGGACAUACAUUUCCAGGAAGAAACCAUGGAUUAAUGAAUUCCAGAGGCAUCUUUGUCAUUUUUCAUGGACAUACAGCUCUAAUGGUGCCUUAAAGACACAGAACUGCUUUAUGCCUGUGGCCAAGAGUGUUGCUAACAGUCUUUAUUUAGAUUCUGCCCAGAAGGAGAAGAGAGGAGAGAAGAACAAGACAGAGGUCAGAGACAGAAAAAUGCUACAGUUGAAGCACAACACCAGAAAUGCAGAGGUUUUGUGGUAUCCACACAGAACUAAUUCUCUCUCACCAUCUUUGCACAGUAACACUAAAAUCAAUGGAGCUCAGCACUUCACUGUUCCGGGGCCUUCAAGCACAAAACACAGUUCUGUUCUUACUCUUAGUGCCAUCGAAACCAUCAGACUGCAACUUCAUUUCAGAUUUCUAUUCUCAUUCAAGCCUGUGUCACAUCUCAGCAUAGAAGUAUGAAUUGGCCAAGUUUGCUAGUACCCUACAAAGUCAAUAUAGUGGAAUCUUUCAGGAAUGGAAAACAAAAAAAUGAAAACAGGCAGGUCUUCCCUUUUUGUACCUGACAUGGGAACAUGCAUGGGUAUUUGCCUUUCUUGCCUAUGUCCUCUCUGCAAGAGGAACGACAGGAACCAGUGAUGUCUGCUUAAAAAGAACAUGGCUACUUAUUUAUAAUAGCCAGAAGCUGGAAAGAACCCAGAUGCCCCUCAACAGAGGAAUAGAUACAGAAAAUGUGGUACAUUUACACAAUGGAGUACUACUCAGCUAUUAAAAAGAAUGAAUUUAUGAAAUUCCUAGCCAAAUGGAUGGACCUGGAGGGCAUCAUCCUGAGUGAGGCAAUAUGUCAAUAUGAGCACACCCAGACACCAGAGCUCUGUCAGAUGGCUGUGGAGGGUGCUGAAUCACCAACAAAGAAUUGUGAGCCUCAGCCAGCUUCCAUCUGCCACCUGUACUUCCAUGUACUACUGCCAACCUUGAAAAGUUCAUGGUUCCCAGACAGCAUCAGACUAGAGCCAACAGUAGCCAUGCGCCAGCAUCUCCAAGAAGCAGGCCAAGUCCAGAGAAAAGCCAACUUCUAAAAGAUUCAUCCUACUACUGAAAAUUCUGAUACCAAAAGGACAAUAGCAAAAGGAUUUCUGGACCUCCAAGUACUAGACGUGGCUCCCACCUUGGCUUAACUGUCCAUGGCAGUGCCAUAACAUCAGCAGGCAGAGUGCAAACAUCACCUGAAGGAGGAAAGAUUGCCCACAUUCAGAAUCACAUUCCUUCCAUGGGUCCCAUAGCAACCAGUUCUGUAAAGUCCCUGCCAGAGCCCCAGAGUCCCUGGGAUGCCUAACAUCCCCUCAGCGUAUAAAACGUUUUUCCAUUUAAAGGCUCCUGAGACUGCAGGACAAUCCUAGAAGGGGCUCACAGUUUUUCACACUUAGAAAAAUUAAGUCUAAGAGGCAGAACUCCCAAGUCCACAAGGCAUGCUGCUUGCUAAGAGGCAUACAGACUAGAACCUCACUAUGGUCCAAAGACAAAGAAGACAGAAUUGGUACCUCCCAUGUGCCUGAGUCCUGGAUGAGUCAGGUGAUCACCCAACAGGAGUUGGUCUACUAAAUCAGUCUUAUCUUUAAGUACAAUAUGCACUAAGAGAAUAUGAUAAGGAAAGGCAAGGGUUUUUUUGCAGCACAUAGCUUUAUUAAGGACCUACAUUAGCUUUCUGCUAUUCCUUACAAUGACUUUAAUAAGAAGCUAUCCCAUGGUCAGCCUAGGACAAAUGUUCUCCAGAUCUCUGGACUUUUUCCUUCCAAGGCCUGUCCUUUGGACCUGAGGCCUGAUAGUAGGGGUAGUGGGUAAUGCCAGGUGUUAUAUGUAUUUCUAAAAGAGGAUGAUAGUUGCCUUUGCAAUACACAAAAUACAUAGAAAGUACGCCAAAACUUCAGAAGUGGGUGACAGAUUCCCAUGCAGUGACUUAUCCAUCCAAAUGAGGUCUAUAGCUUCCCAGGCAGUACUGGCAGUGGGCAAAAGAGGGACAUUGAUCUCUUGCUAUACAGAAAGCAUGUAGAAGAGGUCUAUAUAGUCACAUGUCUCACCCAAGGACUCCAGAAAAUGCCAAUAUAUGCCAAUAUAGUCUCCAAGACAUCUAAAAGAGGUGAUAGAUCUCAAACCACACAGAAGACAUGGAUACAUCCCCAUGCAGUAUCCAAAGCACCCAGAAGAGGGAGAAAAAGCCACAUGCAGUGUGUAAAGCAUCAAAGAAAAAGAGAGUCUAUUGCAUUACCAAGAGAAACUAGAAGAGGGCGACAGAGCAUAAUGCUGUACUCAAAUCAUCCAGAACAGGACAAUACCUUACCACGUAGUACAUUCCAGUAGUAUCUUUAGGUACAUAAUCACAAGUGACCUUGUAUGGUUGAGUGGUAUAGGGACAGGAGAGACCAUGCUGAGUUCCAAAUAGUGAUCUACUGGUGCCCCUAAAAGCAGGACAGCUCUCCUCAAGCUGGGAUCCCAUUCCCAACCACUGUGGCUAGACACAUGUUUCAGGCCAUACUGCAUUCCUACUGGAUCUGGAAUUGCUUAACUUAGCCCAGCCAUGCUGUGCUUGGAGUACAAUUUCAGCUAAUAGCUGAUGUGAUGCAAGUAGGUCCUAGAGUCCCUAGGGCUUAGCAUCACCAGGCUGUGAUUUCCUGUGUCCAAGACACAGGAUGUACCUGAAUGUCUGAGACCUUGGUGUAUGUUCAUGGGGAGUUUCUUCCCCUGGUUUUUGCAAUCAGACAUCCAAGGAAUUUAAUGGAAUCUGCUAAGGAUGCAGUUCAGCAAAAACAUACAAACAAGGACUGUUCACAGAGGACCAAUUGUAUGUGUGCAUGUGCAUGUGUGUGGGUACUGAAGUCUAUAGUGGGGCCUGUUUUGAGGUGAUGCCCGCGCCAUGAGCAGGGAGCCCCACUUUAAGCAGCAGUGCUUUUAUUCCAUGUUGCACAUUGAAAUUCCAUGCCAGUUUAUAUUGCCAUCCUGAAAUUGAGUCUCCUUCCUUGAAGUAUUUACUCUGAGCAUAUGCAUGGCAAUAAGAACCCAUGACUGCGAAUCUGUGUUCUGAAGAUAUAAAUAAGGUGGUAACAGGUUUCAGGUGGGCCAGGACCUGUGGCACAGACUUCCUGGGAACUUUUUAGAGGGGUAGUCUUUCCUUUCAGGCCCAUGAGGGAGUUCUUGAAGCCCUGGAUCCCUUACCAGGGAAAUCUUCUGUGCUGUGCUGGGGUCAGAAUACUAAGUUUAAUAAGCACCAGAAGGUCCGAGUAUAUAGGAGGCAGAAUGUGGCAGCCACUGCAUGGGGGUAGUCCAGGAUAUAGCCUGAAUCCACUUGAUCCUUGAGGCCUGUUUCAUGGAGUAACUUCAGUGACUAGAAGAAUGGGUUAGAUUUAUUUCCUGUACUCAAAGCAGGAAGAAAACGAUGAAAGUCCUCCCAUGCAAUAUGAAAAGCAUCCAGAAGAGGGUGCUAGAUCCUCAGUACCCAAAGUAUCCACAAGAUGGAAUAAGGCAGAUUCCCAUGCAGUAUCAAAAGCAUCCAGAGAGCAUCUUAAGCUCAAUGUUCAGCGUGUGAUGUAGCCCUAGGAACAAAGAGGAGGAGUCUGCCUCUUGAAACCCUCUUCUGAGAGUCAGAGUGAAAUUAAGGAGCUCCUAGCACAGCAGCUGUAGCCUUGACAAUUCCUGCCACUCUGCCAAACAACCUGCUUCCCAGAAGUUCCAAGCGCCUGAAUCCCGUUGCUGGAAGAUGCAGCUCAAGCUCCCUAUUUCAUUUCCUGGACUCACUGUGAAUUCCCCAGGACCAUUAAUUUUAGAGUUCUUUUAAACUAAGACCAAAGGCCAUCUUGUUUCUACCCCUUACUGGUCUCUGUAUGUUCACUGUCCUCUCUUCCAAGAAGCCUGCUCAGUUUUGCAAACAUGUCUAUAGGUGAACCGUAAAGGUACUGAAUGAAUGCUCCAAGAGCAGUUGGAGUCAACUCAACAUUAAUAACAUCACAGACAAUGCCAGGGAACUCCAGGUUAUAAUACAACAUGUUAGGAAGGGACUGUUGAUGUCACACAGGAUAGCUCUUUGCCUUCUUGCUAAGUACCUCACCCAAGUUUACCUGAAGUCAAGGUGCCUUUUCCAGAGAGUGGGAUAGAAUACCUUUUGGUACUCAAAAUACUUAGAAGGUGGCUAUUGAUCCCCUUCCAAUGCCAAACAUCUCCAAAGAGAUCCUUUGGAUCCCCAUGUAAAUCCACAUGUAAUACGCAGACUCCAGAAUAAGAUUAUAGAUGCUAUGCAAUACACAAAGCAUCCAGAAGUGCGUGAAAGAUCCCCUUGCAGUACCAAAAUCAUCCAGAAGAGGUUAAUACAUCUCAAGCCAAUUUCUCUGCUGUGAGGACUGACCUGGACAGAAAGUAAGGUGUCUCCACCAAAGACCAAAGUAUGGUGAAGAUGACCAGGUGUUCUCAUAGAUUUCAUGUCAGAAUUUCAACAUUGCCAGUUGAUGCAGGAGAAAAACUGGGACAUGGAUUUGGUACAUGACCUGAACCUUAUUCUACAGAAAAAAUUUAGCAACACGUGUCAAAAAAUGACUAAUAGCUGUAGGAGAAUAGUGUUACACUCUAAGCAUAACAUCAGUGGACUAUAUUCAAAUUUGGAAAAGGAAAAGGCAAUGAAGAGGGGAUUAUAUAGGAUUGUAGAGAUGGAAAUUUGACAUCUAUUAUGAGACAUUUUCCAGAGAUGCCUCAUGUAGCUGAGAUCUGGGAGUGUACACUAGACUGAGCAGUGUAUCAUAUCUAGGUUUGUCAGAGAUUGGAGAGGUAUUUUACAUAAAUAUUUUAACAUAUCUAUGUCCAGGCCCUACUGGAUGACAUAUACAUUGUAAUCCUUUGUGUCUGGCUUCUUUUAUUUAGCAUUGUUUUUAACAAAGAGUCAUGUGAAUGACAUAUCAAUACCCUGCAGACUAUAUGCUAUGUAAACAACAAACCAAAACCCAAAAAGCUCCAAAUGUAUAGCCCCACAAAUGGUACCUAUUAAUAAAGCCA